ensembl:lncRNA
GAAUCGAGAAAAAAUUCCAGCCGACCAGGAAGUAAAGCCGGAAGCAGAGGAAGCAGUCGCAGAGGAAGUGACGCCUCCGACUUCGACAUCUCAGACAUCCAAUCCGUGUGCUCAGAUGUUUCCGAGACGGUCGGCGACUCUGCCAGAGCGACGCCGCGCUCCGCGUCCCGUCAACACGGAGGGAAACCCUCUAAGAUCCCCACACCUCAAAGAAGAAUGACCCCUACAAGCAAACUGGCCAAGGGAUUGAAGCGAUAGACAGUGGCCUUGAAAACAAACAAACAACAAACCCAGGAGCUAUUUGCACCCUAAACACAUAAUGGACACUGGAGAUGUGUAACUUAAAGAAAAAAAAGUAAAAAAGACUGCAAAUGUGUCACGUGUUAUUUAAAUUCUUGCAAAGAUGUAAAAUAUUCUGUUAAGAGGCAAUAUGGUUUAAUAUUUUGUGAGAAUGGAAAGUCAAUGGCCUUGUGUAUUUGUUUUUAAUGUAUUUUAUUUUUUGUGAAAAUAUGUCAAAUUGUUUUUAUUGUACUUUAUUUUUAUUUAUGCAAAUCCCGAAGAGGAUUGAUGAACACUAGAAAAUCUGGGAAUGAUCAAGCCGAACUAACAUUUCUACACUAAUGAAGGGCAAAGAUGCAGGAUAGUGCUCUAAGAGUUACUGAAUGUACUAUUAUUUAUGUAUGCUUUUAUUUGGAGUAGAUGGUGCAUUAUGGUACCGUUUGACACACUGCGAUUAUCUAUUUAAGUGCUAUGUUAUACUGCCAACAUGCAUUUAAAGGGCAAUGCAAUAUAUUACAAUAAACCCCACUAAGCACUGCAGAAGCCUUCGAAAACCCCUAUUUAAGACAAGUAGCAAAAACCUCGUAACCAUGAUGCUUUUAUGUACCCGUUUGUCAGCAGCUGCAGCCCGUCUUUUGUUUAACCACCUCACAGCAAAUGAGUACUCUGACCUCGAAGAGGUACCACUUCAUGUAGACAUUCUCUGUGCACCCAUGUCAAUGUAUGGUUAAUUUCGGUAGAGCUGAAAUUGUUACUGUAACAUUACUUUGUAAUAAACCUGCUUGCAGAAAGCCACCAGAGACUGGUGUGCACCACAGAA